CUAAUACUCCCUCCGUCCAGAAUUACUUGUCAUAGAAAUGAAUGUGUCUAGACGUAUUUUUAAUUCUAGAUACAUCCAUUUCUAUCAAUUUCUACAACAAGUAAUUCGGGACGGAGGAAGUAUGAA
rfam:Triticum aestivum genome assembly, contig: Triticum_aestivum_CS42_TGACv1_scaffold_361106_4DS